UACAGAGGUCCCGAGCGUUGUUCGGACUCACUGGGCGUAAAGGGUGCGUAGGUGGUGAGGUAAGUCGGAUGUGAAAGCUCCAAGCUCAACUUGGAAAUGGCAUUGGAAACUACCUUGCUAGAGGGUUUGAGGGGGGACUGGAAUACUUGGUGUAGCAGUGAAAUGCGUAGAUAUCAAGUGGAACACCAGUGGCGAAGGCGAGUCCCUGGAAAACUCCUGACACUGAGGCACGAAAGCUAGGGGAGCAAACAGG
rnacentral:rRNA from 1 species